UAGUAUCAAACUUUCCCAUGUGUAUAAAGGAAAAUGUCUUGAAUUUGUCUCUUACCUCAUUAAAUUGAUUUUCUGUGGUAUCCUACCUGCUGUUCAUAUGAGAGUCUUUAAUUAACCAAUUGUGUUUUCUCUCCAUUCAGUCUCCCCUUAUCUCAGAUGCUUUCUUUCUCCUCGUGCUUGGUUUAGCUUUUGGAUUUAAUGUCUUGUUGGAUAUUAUUGAAAAAGCAAAUCGGAAAGUUCCCCAAGCUGCCUCUGUUUUGUAAUUCUAUACAGCAAGAGAGGUCUCUCCCCCGCUCCCUCUGCUUCUCUCAUCUUUGUGGUACUGGGAAUGGAACCCAGGGCCUUGCAUUAAGCUACAUCCCAAACAUUUUUUUUGUUUUUGAGACACAGUCUCACUAACUCACUGAAUUGCCCAGGCUGUGCUUAAACUUGUGAUCCUUCUGCCUCAGCCUCCCAGAGUGUUGGGAUGACAGGCCUGCUUUCUGUGGCCCUUCAUUUGAUUGCUUUCUUCAGACAUAUAGAAGCUCCUCACAUGAAUAGGCUCUUUCUGCUCAUCUAUCAAGAAGCCUGCUGAAUAUCAAUCUACAAUCAAUACAGUGUUGCCUGGAGGCACCUCUUGCUUCAAAUUUGCUUCACAAAUCUGCUGCAGUGACAGAAAGCUAAGACAGCUGCAGAAAAAGCCAACCCUGCUGAUUCCUUCAUCUUGGACUUGCAGCCUCCAGAACUGUGAGCAAAUGAACAUCUGUUGUUUAAGCCACCCAGUCUGUGGUACUGUGUUAUGGCAGCCCCAGCAAUCUAAUGCAGAGGGGAAAGUGGGUUUGGGUGCAGAAAAAAUUAUAUUUAAACAUCAAAUUGCUUCUAGAAAAAGCCAAAGUAUAAACCAUGAUAAAGGAGAGAGAAGAGAAGGAAGGGGCUUGGCAAGGAUCCGGCAGUGGAAUGGGACAGACUUUCAACACCUUGCCAUGCGAUCUUUCCCCACAAACUCCUGUGUGACCCACAUAUGAAUUCUCACUGAGAGACACAGACUGAAAGAGGCUUGGCCUGAAGAAUUUGCCAGAGGGCACAGGGAGCAUGGCUUAUUUCUUGGGAGAUGACAACAGGUCAAUUUGAUCCUACACUGUAGAAUUUUCUCCAGAUGAAAAGUGAGUUUUUGAACCUGCUAAUAGCAGCACCAUGGAAUGUUUUCAGUUAUUUUCAAUCUCCAUGUUUGACUACUUUAGACCUAGAAACAUCAGUGCUGGUUCCAGUUGGAAAGAAAUAAUGGAAGAGAGAUGUGAAGAUGCCCAGGUACUUGUUACAAAUAAAUUAAAAAUAAAAAAGAAACUGUCAUGUGGCCAGAUGAUCAACAAUAUAAUGGGUAUUUGAUUGAAGCUAGAAAUACUCUAAAUAGAACUGAAGAUUGCCCUUUAAAAAUUGAAAACAAAA
ensembl:lncRNA